rfam:Candidatus Doudnabacteria bacterium RIFCSPHIGHO2_02_FTLL_46_11 rifcsphigho2_02_scaffold_14285, whole genome shotgun sequence.
UUAUGAGUAAAAUAAAAGCUUUGAGAAGUCAGCUGAGUCAUAGUAAGUCCAAACUAAACGGUUUGGGCCGAAGGAC